rnacentral:tRNA from 1 species
GAGGGUAUAACUCAAUGGUAAAGCGCAUGCUUAGCAUGCAUGAGGUCCUGGCUUCCAUCUCCAGUACCCCCC